rnacentral:rRNA from 1 species
UGAUCAUGGCUCAGAUUGAACGCUGGCGGCAGGCUUAACACAUGCAAGUCGAGCGGUAGCGGGAAGAGCUUGCUCUUUGCCGACGAGCGGCGGACGGGUGCGUAACACGUAGGAAUCUGCCCGGUAGUGGGGGAUAGCCCGGAGAAAUCCGGAUUAAUACCGCAUACGCACUAGCUCUUUAAGAGCGGUGGAAAGCAGGGGAUCGGUUCGCCGACCUUGCGCUAUCGGAUGAGCCUGCGUCGGAUUAGCUUGUUGGUGGGGUAAAGCCCACAAGGCAACGAUCCGUAGCUGGUCUGAGAGGAUGAUCAGCCACACUGGGACUGAGACACGGCCCAGACUCCUACGGGAGGCAGCAGA